rnacentral:rRNA from 1 species
CCUACGGGUGGCAGCAGUGGGGAAUAUUGCUCAAUGGGGGAAACCCUGAUGCAGCGAAGCCGCGUGAGCGAUGAAGUAUUUCGGUGUGUUAAGCUCUAUCAGCAAGGGAGAAAAUGACGGUACGUGACUAAGUAGCUCCGGCUAACUACGUGCCAGCAGCCGCGGUACUACGUAGGGGGCAAGCGUUAUCCGGAUGUACUGGGUGUAAAGGGAGCGUAGACGGCGAUGCAAGCCAGAUGUGAAAGACCGGGGCUCAACCCCGGGACUGCAUUUGAAACUGUGAGGCUGGAGUGUCGGAGAGGCAGGCGGAAUUCCUAGUGUAGCGGUGAAAUGCGUAGAUAUUAGGAGGAACACCAGUGGCGAAGGCGGCCUGCUGGAC